CGGGAAAGAUUAAUACCGCAUAAUGUUGAAAGAUGGCAUCAUCAUUCAACCAAAAGGAGCAAUCCGCUAUGAGAUGGACCCGCGGCGCAUUAGCUAGUUGGUGGGGUAACGGGCCUACCAAGGCGACGAUGCGUAGCCGACCUGAGAGGGUGAUCGGCCACAUUGGGACUGAGACACGGCCCAGACUCCUACGGGAGGCAGCAGUGGGGAAUAUUGCACAAUGGGGGAAACCCUGAUGCAGCAACGCCGCGUGAGUGAUGAAGGUUUUCGGAUCGUAAAGCUCUGUCUUUGGGGAAGAUAAUGACGGUACCCAAGGAGGAAGCCACGGCUAACUACGUGCCAGCAGCCGCGGUAAUACGUAGGUGGCGAGCGUUAUCCGGAUUUACUGGGCGUAAAGGGAGCGUAGGCGGAUGAUUAAGUGGGAUGUGAAAUACCCGGGCUCAACUUGGGUGCUGCAUUCCAAACUGGUUAUCUAGAGUGCAGGAGAGGAGAGUGGAAUUCCUAGUGUAGCGGUG
rnacentral:rRNA from 1 species